rnacentral:rRNA from 1 species
GAUGAACGCUGGCGGCGUGCCUAAUACAUGCAAGUCGAGCGAACGGACGAGAAGCUUGCUUCUCUGAUGUUAGCGGCGGACGGGUGAGUAACACGUGGAUAACCUACCUAUAAGACUGGGAUAACUUCGGGAAACCGGAGCUAAUACCGGAUAAUAUUUUGAACCGCAUGGUUCAAAAGUGAAAGACGGUCUUGCUGUCACUUAUAGAUGGAUCCGCGCUGCAUUAGCUAGUUGGUAAGGUAACGGCUUACCAAGGCAACGAUGCAUAGCCGACCUGAGAGGGUGAUCGGCCACACUGGAACUGAGACACGGUCCAGACUCCUACGGGAGGCAGCAGUAGGGAAUCUUCCGCAAUGGGCGAAAGCCUGACGGAGCAACGCCGCGUGAGUGAUGAAGGUCUUCGGAUCGUAAAACUCUGUUAUUAGGGAAGAACAUAUGUGUAAGUAACUGUGCACAUCUUGACGGUACCUAAUCAGAAAGCCACGGCUAACUACGUGCCAGCAGCCGCGGUAAUACGUAGGUGGCAAGCGUUAUCCGGAAUUAUUGGGCGUAAAGCGCGCGUAGCGGUUUUUUAAGUCUGAUGUGAAAGCCCACGGCUCAACCGUGGAGGGUCAUUGGAAACUGGAAAACUUGAGUGCAGAAGAGGAAAGUGGAAUUCCAUGUGUAGCGGUGAAAUGCGCAGAGAUAUGGAGGAACACCAGUGGCGAAGGCGACUUUCUGGUCUGUAACUGACGCUGAUGUGCGAAAGCGUGGGGAUCAAACAGGAUUAGAUACCCUGGUAGUCCACGCCGUAAACGAUGAGUGCUAAGUGUUAGGGGGUUUCCGCCCCUUAGUGCUGCAGCUAACGCAUUAAGCACUCCGCCUGGGGAGUACGACCGCAAGGUUGAAACUCAAAGGAAUUGACGGGGACCCGCACAAGCGGUGGAGCAUGUGGUUUAAUUCGAAGCAACGCGAAGAACCUUACCAAAUCUUGACAUCCUUUGACAACUCUAGAGAUAGAGCCUUCCCCUUCGGGGGACAAAGUGACAGGUGGUGCAUGGUUGUCGUCAGCUCGUGUCGUGAGAUGUUGGGUUAAGUCCCGCAACAAGCGCAACCCUUAAGCUUAGUUGCCAUCAUUAAGUUGGGCACUCUAAGUUGACUGCCGGUGACAAACCGGAGGAAGGUGGGGAUGACGUCAAAUCAUCAUGCCCCUUAUGAUUUGGGCUACACACGUGCUACAAUGGACAAUACAAAGGGCAGCGAAACCGCGAGGUCAAGCAAAUCCCAUAAAGUUGUUCUCAGUUCGGAUUGUAGUCUGCAACUCGACUACAUGAAGCUGGAAUCGCUAGUAAUCGUAGAUCAGCAUGCUACGGUGAAUACGUUCCCGGGUCU